GACUCGUCACACUAUCAUUAACUGAAUCCAUAGGUUAAUGAGGCGAACCGGGGGAACUGAAACAUCUAAGUACCCCGAGGAAAAGAAAUCAACCGAGAUUCCCCCAGUAGCGGCGAGCGAACGGGGAGGAGCCCAGAGCCUGAAUCAGCAUGUGUGUUAGUGGAAGCGUCUGGAAAGGCGCGCGAUACAGGGUGACAGCCCCGUACACAAAAGCGCAUGUGCUGUGAGCUCGAUGAGUAGGGCGGGACACGUGGUAUCCUGUCUGAAUAUGGGGGGACCAUCCUCCAAGGCUAAAUACUCCUGACUGACCGAUAGUGAACCAGUACCGUGAGGGAAAGGCGAAAAGAACCCCGGCGAGGGGAGUGAAAAAGAACCUGAAACCGUGUACGUACAAGCAGUGGGAGCACCCUUUGGGGUGUGACUGCGUACCUUUUGUAUAAUGGGUCAGCGACUUAUAUUCUGUAGCAAGGUUAACCGUAUAGGGGAGCCGGAGGGAAACCGAGUCUUAACCGGGCGUUAAGUUGCAGGGUAUAGACCCGAAACCCGGUGAUCUAGCCAUGGGCAGGUUGAAGGUUGGGUAACACUAACUGGAGGACCGAACCGACUAAUGUUGAAAAAUUAGCGGAUGACCUGUGGCUGGGGGUGAAAGGCCAAUCAAACCGGGAGAUAGCUGGUUCUCCCCGAAAGCUAUUUAGGUAGCGCCUCGUGAAUUCAUCUCCGGGGGUAGAGCACUGUUUCGGCUAGGGGGCCAUCCCGGCUUACCAACCCGAUGCAAACUGCGAAUACCGGAGAAUGUUAUCACGGGAGACACACGGCGGGUGCUAACGUCCGUCGUGAAGAGGGAAACAACCCAGACCGCCAGCUAAGGUCCCAAAGUCAUGGUUAAGUGGGAAACGAUGUGGGAAGGCCCAGACAGCCAGGAUGUUGGCUUAGAAGCAGCCAUCAUUUAAAGAAAGCGUAAUAGCUCACUGGUCGAGUCGGCCUGCGCGGAAGAUGUAACGGGGCUAAACCAUGCACCGAAGCUGCGGCAGCGACGCUGAUGCGUUGUUGGGUAGGGGAGCGUUCUGUAAGCCUGUGAAGGUGGCCUGUGAGGGUUGCUGGAGGUAUCAGAAGUGCGAAUGCUGACAUAAGUAACGAUAAAGCGGGUGAAAAGCCCGCUCGCCGGAAGACCAAGGGUUCCUGUCCAACGUUAAUCGGGGCAGGGUGAGUCGACCCCUAAGGCGAGGCCGAAAGGCGUAGUCGAUGGGAAACGGGUUAAUAUUCCCGUACUUGGUGUUACUGCGAAGGGGGGACGGAGAAGGCUAUGUUGGCCGGGCGACGGUUGUCCCGGUUUAAGCGUGUAGGUGUGUGUUCCAGGUAAAUCCGGUUCACUUUAACACUGAGGCGUGAUGACGAGGCACUACGGUGCUGAAGCAACAAAUGCCCUGCUUCCAGGAAAAGCCUCUAAGCAUCAGGUAACAUCAAAUCGUACCCCAAACCGACACAGGUGGUCAGGUAGAGAAUACCAAGGCGCUUGAGAGAACUCGGGUGAAGGAACUAGGCAAAAUGGUGCCGUAACUUCGGGAGAAGGCACGCUGACACGUAGGUGAAGUGAUUUACUCAUGGAGCUGAAGUCAGUCGAAGAUACCAGCUGGCUGCAACUGUUUAUUAAAAACACAGCACUGUGCAAACACGAAAGUGGACGUAUACGGUGUGACGCCUGCCCGGUGCCGGAAGGUUAAUUGAUGGGGUCAGCGCAAGCGAAGCUCCUGAUCGAAGCCCCGGUAAACGGCGGCCGUAACUAUAACGGUCCUAAGGUAGCGAAAUUCCUUGUCGGGUAAGUUCCGACCUGCACGAAUGGCGUAAUGAUGGCCAGGCUGUCUCCACCCGAGACUCAGUGAAAUUGAACUCGCUGUGAAGAUGCAGUGUACCCGCGGCAAGACGGAAAGACCCCGUGAACCUUUACUAUAGCUUGACACUGAACAUUGAGCCUUGAUGUGUAGGAUAGGUGGGAGGCUUUGAAGUGUGGACGCCAGUCUGCAUGGAGCCGACCUUGAAAUACCACCCUUUAAUGUUUGAUGUUCUAACGUGGACCCGUGAUCCGGGUUGCGGACAGUGUCUGGUGGGUAGUUUGACUGGGGCGGUCUCCUCCUAAAGAGUAACGGAGGAGCACGAAGGUUGGCUAAUCCUGGUCGGACAUCAGGAGGUUAGUGCAAUGGCAUAAGCCAGCUUGACUGCGAGCGUGACGGCGCGAGCAGGUGCGAAAGCAGGUCAUAGUGAUCCGGUGGUUCUGAAUGGAAGGGCCAUCGCUCAACGGAUAAAAGGUACUCCGGGGAUAACAGGCUGAUACCGCCCAAGAGUUCAUAUCGACGGCGGUGUUUGGCACCUCGAUGUCGGCUCAUCACAUCCUGGGGCUGAAGUAGGUCCCAAGGGUAUGGCUGUUCGCCAUUUAAAGUGGUACGCGAGCUGGGUUUAGAACGUCGUGAGACAGUUCGGUCCCUAUCUGCCGUGGGCGCUGGAGAACUGAGGGGGGCUGCUCCUAGUACGAGAGGACCGGAGUGGACGCAUCACUGGUGUUCGGGUUGUCAUGCCAAUGGCACUGCCCGGUAGCUAAAUGCGGAAGAGAUAAGUGCUGAAAGCAUCUAAGCACGAAACUUGCCCCGA
rnacentral:rRNA from 1 species